UACGUAGGGUGCGAGCGUUAAUCGGAAUUACUGGGCGUAAAGCGUGCGCAGGCGGUUUUGUAAGCCAGAUGUGAAAUCCCCGGGCUUAACCUGGGAAUGGCAUUUGGGACUGCAAGGCUUGAGUGUGGCAGAGGAGACUGGAAUUCCUGGUGUAGCAGUGAAAUGCGUAGAUAUCAGGAGGAACACCGAUGGCGAAGGCAGGUCUCUGGGCUAACACUGACGCUCAUGCACGAAAGCGUGGGGAGCAAACAGG
rnacentral:rRNA from 1 species